GGGUCAGCGGCUCCUGUGGCAUCUGGCCAAGGACAAUGUGCUGAGAAGUUUCCCCUGAAAAAAUCAGAAACAAAACUCACCUCAGGAGAGGCCCCUGCACCCUCCAAGAGGAAGUGGGAGUCACGUGAGGCUCGUCUUGAUUGGGGUUCCUGGAGAGGAGGCCCCCUCUCCCCAGGUGGGGGCUCCUGUUUCCCCUGCUCUGCUCUGAGGUCCCCAGGGUCCAGUCCCCUCCCCACCCUAUCCUGGAGCUUGUCAAGGCCACCAGAGACCUGCUCCCUGUGCCGUCUCAGACUGGACUCUGGGGUCUCCGGUGCCUCCUCUGAUUCUGCACCUCGGUGCAGCCUCUGGCCUGGCUGCGCUCUGAGGAGCUCCCUGUGGCCACCGAGCCCUUGGAACGUGGCCAGUUCCAUUCUCAAACUGCUGUGAGUGCAAAGCUCAUGCUGGAUUUUGAAGAUUUGGUGAGAAAAAAAAUUUCUUUGUAAAAUGUCAGUAUUUCAUCAAUAGUAUAUUUUGUUGAUGAUAUGUUGAGAAACUAUUUUGGAUAUGUUUGUUUAAGUAGAUUGCUGGUGUGAGCCACCGCGCCCGGCCUGUCUUCUUCUUCCUAAGUAAGUGAAGGAAAUAAUGUAUACAGUGGUCCAUUUCCAAGACAAAGUGCCUUAAAUCAGCUUAGGUCAGCAAACUACAGAAGAAACAGGAUAUACUAGGCCCCUGCUUGGAUAGCUGAUGCCUUCUUGUCAGCCUUCUCCCUCCCCUUCUCCCUCCACUUAGUUGCCCUUACCCAAACCAGGGAAGUUUCGUCUAAGAUAAAAGUUUACUAGCCUGCAAAA
rnacentral:lncRNA from 10 species